CUUAACACAUGCAAGUCGAGGGGCAGCAUUUUAGUUUGCUUGCAAACUGAAGAUGGCGACCGGCGCACGGGUGAGUAACACGUAUCCAACCUGCCGAUAACUCCGGAAUAGCCUUUCGAAAGAAAGAUUAAUACCGGAUAGCAUACGAAUAUCGCAUGAUAUUUUUAUUAAAGAAUUUCGGUUAUCGAUGGGGAUGCGUUCCAUUAGUUUGUUGGCGGGGUAACGGCCCACCAAGACUACGAUGGAUAGGGGUUCUGAGAGGAAGGUCCCCCACAUUGGAACUGAGACACGGUCCAAACUCCUACGGGAGGCAGCAGUGAGGAAUAUUGGUCAAUGGGCGAGAGCCUGAACCAGCCAAGUAGCGUGAAGGAUGAAGGCUCUAUGGGUCGUAAACUUCUUUUAUAUGGGAAUAAAGUUUUCCACGUGUGGAAUUUUGUAUGUACCAUAUGAAUAAGGAUCGGCUAACUCCGUGCCAGCAGCCGCGGUAAUACGGAGGAUCCGAGCGUUAUCCGGAUUUAUUGGGUUUAAAGGGAGCGUAGGUGGAUUGUUAAGUCAGUUGUGAAAGUUUGCGGCUCAACCGUAAAAUUGCAGUUGAAACUGGCAGUCUUGAGUACAGUAGAGGUGGGCGGAAUUCGUGGUGUAGCGGUGAAAUGCUUAGAUAUCACGAAGAACUCCGAUUGCGAAGGCAGCUCACUAGACUGUCACUGACACUGAUGCUCGAAAGUGUGGGUAUCAAACAGGAUUAGAUACCCUGGUAGUCCACACAGUAAACGAUGAAUACUCGCUGUUUGCGAUAUACAGUAAGCGGCCAAGCGAAAGCAUUAAGUAUUCCACCUGGGGAGUACGCCGGCAACGGUGAAACUCAAAGGAAUUGACGGGGGCCCGCACAAGCGGAGGAACAUGUGGUUUAAUUCGAUGAUACGCGAGGAACCUUACCCGGGCUUAAAUUGCAACAGAAUAUAUUGGAAACAGUAUAGCCGUAAGGCUGUUGUGAAGGUGCUGCAUGGUUGUCGUCAGCUCGUGCCGUGAGGUGUCGGCUUAAGUGCCAUAACGAGCGCAACCCUUAUCUUUAGUUACUAACAGGUCAUGCUGAGGACUCUAGAGAGACUGCCGUCGUAAGAUGUGAGGAAGGUGGGGAUGACGUCAAAUCAGCACGGCCCUUACGUCCGGGGCUACACACGUGUUACAAUGGGGGGUACAGAAGGCGGCUACCUGGUGACAGGAUGCUAAUCCCAAAAACCUCUCUCAGUUCGGAUCGAAGUCUGCAACCCGACUUCGUGAAGCUGGAUUCGCUAGUAAUCGCGCAUCAGCCAUGGCGCGGUGAAUACGUUCCCGGGCCUUGUACACACCGCCCGUCAAGCCAUGAAAGCCGGGGGUACCUGAAGUACGUAACCGCAAGGAGCGUCCUAGGGUAAAACUGGUAAUUGGGGCUAAGUC
rnacentral:rRNA from 1 species